GACGUAGGGCGCGAGCGUUGUCCGGAUUUAUUGGGCGUAAAGAGCUCGUAGGCGGCUUGUUGCGUCGGCUGUGAAAACCCGUGGCUUAACUGCGGGCUUGCAUUCGAUACGGGCUAGCUAGAGUGUGGUAGGGGAGAUCGGAAUUCCUGGUGUAGCGGUGAAAUGCGCAGAUAUCAGGAGGAACACCGGUGGCGAAGGCGGAUCUCUGGGCCAUUACUGACGCUGAGGAGCGAAAGCGUGGGGAGCGAACAGG
rnacentral:rRNA from 1 species